ACCCUCCAGUUCCCUUUCCCAUUGGAUUUGAACCCUGGUCUCGGUGGUCGUAAAAGGAGGAAUAGUAGUACUGAAGCUGUGCUCAUAGUGUCUGCUAUAUAGCAUGUGGACUAGUUUAAAACAAGG
ensembl:snoRNA